UGGAAAACCCUGCUCCAAGAAAGAUACAAACCUGAGAACAGCAAGCUAGAGAUGACUCUUUCUUUACUACCACUUUGAGACAACAGAAGAGCUGGUGAACCAGACAGAUUCAGAGAAUUUGGCUAAAGUCAAACAACAUUCAAGUCGCAGUGACUCAAUCCCAUCAACAUGGAAAUUAACGGCUCUGCUUCAGUCUACUCCAGGCUUAAGCCAAAGUUUUGAUCCACAUGGGAGAGAGACGAAACAUGCUCUGGACUUUGGAAGCAGAUCCUGGCCUGAGAAUUUGUUCAGCAGUGUUACUGGAAACAUGUGCCGCUUCCCUGACUAUUAGGACUACACCAGCCACAGUCUGUGAGGAAAUUGUAAUGCCCAGAGGACGAAAUGUGCACAAAGCUCAUGGACCGGUAUUAGCAACAGGAGAAGAGAGAAACACUGACUAAGGAAAGGGGACACAACAUCCAUGUUGAAAGAUGGAUUGUUAAUAACUUAGCAUUAGAUCACUUCCUCCUGAAGAAAACCCAUGGGCUGGGGGCCAGGGAGGCGAGUUCUGAGUGGCCCCAGAGCAUGCAGCGAGCUUGCAGGGCUGGCUGCUCAGUCACAGAAGGGCUGCGUUCAGAACUUUCCUCAGGCUGUAUUCACUUCUGAGCAGUUUGCCUGUUAGACUGGCAAGGGGGCAAUAUACCUUCUCCCUAGGCUCACU